rnacentral:lncRNA from 1 species
AUGCUGCACAGGCCUACAGUGCACAUAUGGCCUACACCUCCAGGUUCUGUGCAUACAAGCAGAAGAGUUAGAUGGUGCUUGAGAUCAACCUUCCCAGUGCAGAGUUGGCUACCCCAGAGAGAGGAACUGCUCAGGUUUUAUAGGCUGCAUGACCCUUCUUCAAAGUUUUCGCCAAGGAUUUGCUAUAUGACAAAUGAAAAAUCUAGGAUAUUAUUUGUAUCUAAACAAAGACGCUAUUUUUCAUGAGUUCCAUAGCCAAUGAAGUGGUUCG